rnacentral:rRNA from 2 species
AAUCCAUAGGUUAAUGAGGCGAACCGGGGGAACUGAAACAUCUAAGUACCCCGAGGAAAAGAAAUCAACCGAGAUUCCCCCAGUAGCGGCGAGCGAACGGGGAGGAGCCCAGAGCCUGAAUCAGCAUGUGUGUUAGUGGAAGCGUCUGGAAAGGCGCGCGAUACAGGGUGACAGCCCCGUACACAAAAGCGCAUGUGCUGUGAGCUCGAUGAGUAGGGCGGGACACGUGGUAUCCUGUCUGAAUAUGGGGGGACCAUCCUCCAAGGCUAAAUACUCCUGACUGACCGAUAGUGAACCAGUACCGUGAGGGAAAGGCGAAAAGAACCCCGGCGAGGGGAGUGAAAAAGAACCUGAAACCGUGUACGUACAAGCAGUGGGAGCACCCUUUGGGUGUGACUGCGUACCUUUUGUAUAAUGGGUCAGCGACUUAUAUUCUGUAGCAAGGUUAACCGAAUAGGGGAGCCGGAGGGAAACCGAGUCUUAAUUGGGCGUUAAGUUGCAGGGUAUAGACCCGAAACCCGGUGAUCUAGCCAUGGGCAGGUUGAAGGUUGGGUAACACUAACUGGAGGACCGAACCGACUAAUGUUGAAAAAUUAGCGGAUGACCUGUGGCUGGGGGUGAAAGGCCAAUCAAACCGGGAGAUAGCUGGUUCUCCCCGAAAGCUAUUUAGGUAGCGCCUCGUGAAUUCAUCUCCGGGGGUAGAGCA